UACGGGGGGGGCGAGCGUUGUUCGGAAUCACUGGGCGUAAAGGGCGCGUAGGCGGCCCGCACAAGUCUGCGGUGAAAACCCCCGGCUUAACCGGGGGCCGGCCGUGGAAACUGUCGGGCUGGAGGCUGGGAGAGGGCAGCGGAAUUCCCGGUGUAGCGGUGAAAUGCGUAGAGAUCCGGAAGAACACCGGUGGCGAAGGCGGCCUGCUGGGCAGUGACUGUAAUGGUCAAUAGCUGACGCUGAGGCGCGACAGCGUGGGGAGCAAACAGG
rnacentral:rRNA from 1 species